GGCCCACUUCAGAGACUUUGUAUUAUGAUGCGGAAAGAAAAGUUUAGCAUCAACUUUCUUACCUCUUAUAGAUUCCUUCAGUUCUUGGCCGCUCUCAUCAUAAUCUAUACAAACUUGCUACCUUAAGGAGAAGACUGGUUUCUCAGAAUCACUGGAUGGGCGAAAUACAAGACAGCAACAAUUUAUCUGGGAUCAAAUUAUUUGGUGCAACAAUAGCAGCUCAAGAGAGACAAUCAACAAACAAAGAUGAGCCGAAAAAAGCUGAUCAAACGGUAGAGAAAAGGCCACAAAAGAUCAUUCCAUGCCCAAGAUGCCAAAGCUUAGAAACAAAGUUUUGUUACUUCAACAACUACAAUGUCAACCAGCCUAGGCACUUUUGUAAGGGCUGCCAUAGGUACUGGACCGCCGGUGGGGCCCUCAGAAACGUGCCGGUCGGCUCUGGUCGACGGAAAACAUCUAAGCCACCUUGCCAGGACCUCGCAGGACCGUUAUCAGAGGGUUGCUUAUUGGACGCUUAUCAGGUGCAACAAUUAGAGUUUGAUGCGGUGGAGCACGGCAUGUUUCUGACCAAGAGGAGGAAAAAUGCUUGAGGCCAAAUUGAGAGCAGCUAGAGUUCUUGGAAUGAAGUUCGAGGUGUGUCAACCCACUCCUUUGAUUGAGAAGUACCAAAAGCAUGUUUUGCGAGAGAGGGGCGUUUACUACAUCAUUUGCUUCACGGAGAAAAAGAUUACAUUGUAAAUUCGAAAAGGGAAAAAAAGAAUUUUGCUGAUGUACCUGAAAAUGCUUGAUCGAUGGAGUGACAUCCUCUCACAUUGCUGCGGGUCCCAUUUGAAUAAAAAAAUGCCGACCUCCUAUGUAUGUGUGUAAUCGGUCAAACUCUAUGUCACCGCCUAUGUUGCUGUAGCUUCGUCCCGAAAAAAAGACCAAACUCCAUAAAUUUCUAACCCACCACCAUUUCCACGAGACUGCGAUCAGUUUUUCCAUAUUAGCUGUUGUCAAUUUCUUCGCGAAGCACACAGUGAAAUUGCUCCCGCGUUAUCCCAUUCAAAAUUGUGUUUUAAUUCAAUAAUCUUCCCCUUAAAUAGAGAAAUAAUUUGUAA